rnacentral:misc_RNA from 1 species
UUUCCGUAGGUGGACCUGCGGAAGGAUCAUUCAUAAUAAAGUGUUUUAUGACACUUUUUAAAAAUCCAUAUCCACCUUGUGUGCAAUGUUAGAUCUCGUCAAUCUUGGCGAGAUUUUUAUACAUCAACUCAUUCUUUAACUAAUUUGUCUGAAAAAUAUUAUGAAUACUUAAUUCAAAAUACAACUUUCAACAACGGAUCUCUUGGCUCUC